rnacentral:rRNA from 1 species
GACGUAGGAGGCGAGCGUUGUCCGGAUUCAUUGGGCGUAAAGAGCGCGCAGGCGGCUUGGUAAGUCGGAUGUGAAAUCCCGAGGCUCAACCUCGGGUCUGCAUCCGAUACUGCCCGGCUAGAGGUAGGUAGGGUAGAUCGGAAUUCCUGGUGUAGCGGUGAAAUGCGCAGAUAUCAGGAAGAACACCCGUGGCGAAGGCGGCUCUCUGGGACGGUACUGACGCUGAGACGCGAAAGCGUGGGGAGCGAACAGG